UACGGAGGGUGCAAACGUUGCUCGGAAUCAUUGGGCGUAAAGCGCACGUAGGCGGACCGCUAAGUCGGAUGUGAAAGCCCUCGGCUUAACCGAGGAAGUGCAUUCGAAACUGACGGUCUUGAGUAUGGAAGAGGGUCGCGGAAUUCCCGGUGUAGAGGUGAAAUUCGUAGAUAUCGGGAGGAACACCAGUGGCGAAGGCGGCGACCUGGGCCAAUACUGACGCUGAGGUGCGAAAGCCAGGGGAGCAAACAGG
rnacentral:rRNA from 1 species